GCUCAAGAAGCUAGCAUUAAAGGUAAAAUUUUGAAUUAUUCAGGUGUCCCCUCUUCUUUUAGUAAAAGUUGCUAUAAGUCACCCUUAAAAAACUGUUUGAUGAUCCUUAUCCUGUGAAUAUUUGCUUUUGCAAACAAGACAUACAGAGAGACAUGGUUGGAUGUCCUUUACUAUCUAUAUUUUGCGGAACUAAAUCCAUCAAAAAGAGAUUCUGUGGCUUAUAGAACUUGAUUUAGGAGGGUUUCAUGUAUGUUUGCCCAUGUGAGUAGAUGAUUUAUAUUGCUAAGUUACAGUCUCUCAUCAUCAUGUGAUUAAUGUUGGUGCAUUUCAAAUAGAUUAUGUGAUCCCUGUGAUGGUGACUGUCAUUGUGAACUGAAAAUUUCAGCUUCUUUCUGCUUCUGUUCUUUUCAAAUUAUUGUAUUUCAUUUUAUAUAUUAAAGGCCAAACAAACCAUUCUCAAAGAUAAGGAGCUCAUGUUAUCACAUGCAUGGAUCAGGGUUUUAAAUAAUGGCUGUUGCCAUUAUGUUAUGACUAAGGAGAAUCAGGGGUGUUGACAAAAAAUAGAGGGUCUUUGGGGUUGAAUUGAAAUUGUAAUAAUGGAAUAUUAUAGAAAGUAAGUAGAGUUAGCUAGGAAUAGAAUGGCAGGAACAGUUACUAUAGAGAUCUAAAGCUGUAUAAAUAA
rnacentral:misc_RNA from 1 species